rnacentral:rRNA from 1 species
GACGAACGCUGGCGGCGUGCUUAACACAUGCAAGUCGAACGGUGAAGCUCCAGCUUGCUGGAGUGGAUCAGUGGAGAACGGGUGAGUAACACGUGAGCAACCUGCCCCUGACUCUGGAAUAAGCGCUGGAAACGGCGUCUAAUACUGGAUACGAGAAGGGUCCGCAUGGGCACUUUCUGGAAAGUUUUUCGGUUGGGGAUGGGCUCGCGGCCUAUCAGCUUGUUGGUGAGGUAAUGGCUCACCAAGGCGACGACGGGUAGCCGGCCUGAGAGGGCGACCGGCCACACUGGGACUGAGACACGGCCCAGACUCCUACGGGAGGCAGCAGUGGGGAAUAUUGCACAAUGGGCGAAAGCCUGAUGCAGCGACGCCGCGUGAGGGAUGACGGCCUUCGGGUUGUAAACCUCUUUCAGCAGGGAAGAAGCGAAAGUGACGGUACCUGCAGAAGAAGCACCGGCUAACUACGUG